CUUCGGAAUCCGGCUUCGAAGCCGGCCGCCUGACCUGGGGCAAGUGCUUUCAACUCUCUGAACUUCGGUUCCUCAUCUGCCAGUUGGCAGACGCUCAGCAAAUCUUCCUAGACUCACGGGGCGAAUUGUACAGUUGGGUAAAUCGAGGCCCAGAGAUGGCAAAAGGACCGUCCAAGGUCGUACAGCCACCCGGAAUUACAAUUCUUUUCUGCCGGGUCACACGCUGUCAUCCACGUGUUACCUAAGAGAGCUUUCCAGCCUGUGCUAAGAAAACUGCCCCACAUCAUCUGCAGUAGGACGGGGGAGUUGGAGCCCUGGUCAGGCCACUCUGCUACUGACCACAGUUUUCUCAUCUCUAAAAAGGCGCAGUAACAAUAUAAUUACCGUAUGCAGUCCCCCAGGAUACAGGGUCAAAGGAGAGCACAACCAUCGCAGUUGGAAGCCCAUGGGGCAGCAGGGCCCAGGACACAGUGAGCAUACAAUAGACAUUAGCUGCUGUGGUGUCUUGAUUUCAAGCCCAGUGCAGAUGCAUCUGACUUACGAAACUUCAGUGACACCUGCUCUGUGCCAGACACUGAAGAUGGAGCAGUGAACAGCACUGACCCAGCCUGUCCUCCUGUUGCCUGCAGGCCAGAAGCAAGGUCUCGCUGUGUUACCCUGGCUGGAGUGCAGUGGCUACUUACAGGCAUGAUCAUAGCAUACUGCAGCCUCGAACUCCUGGACUAGAGCAGUUCUCCUGCCUCAGCCUCCAGAGCAGCUGGGACUGCAGACACGCACCACAGAGCCCAGCCUGAGUCAUUUUGAUUCUGUAACUGGCUUCCUCUCGGCGGGCAGGCUCACACCCUCCACCCCCAGCUGGAGAUGGAAGGAGGAUGCUCACCGCCCAUUCCUCAUGCAGGCCAUCGAUGGAAAUGUCAGACAGUGCGAGUCCACGCCUGAACACUUCUGGGGUCCGCUCUGGGACUGACACUGGCAGAUCCAUCGUGGCACCCGAGCUCUGUGAGGGCAAGACUUUGUUCGGUUGUGGGCUAUGCCCCCAACCCCUCGGACAGUGCCUGCACAGGUGGACAUUUUUGUUGGAUGAAGGAUUUUCUGUUAAAUGUGUCUGGCACACACAGAAAAACAAAGCCCAGCAGAUGCCGUUCCAUUGUUUGCUGACUUUCAUUGAUUCUAUGAGAAGUCUGCAGUCUUUUGCAGCGUUGUUUUCCUAUGUAUAAUUGUCUCCUCCCACCCCACUCACCCCAGCUGCUUUCCACAUUCUCUCUCUUUGAUUUUCAGCAGUCUGCCCAUGAUGUGCCUAAAUAGGACUUUCUUUGCAUUCAUCUUGGCUGGGGCUCACUGAACUUUCUGAAUCUGUAGAUUAAUUUUCUUUUUUCAAUAAACCUUGGAAUAUUUUCAGCAUAA
rnacentral:lncRNA from 1 species